rnacentral:tRNA from 1 species
AUUAUAAUAAUAAUUAAAAAUAAAUUAUUUAAUUUAAAAAAUAUAAAAUCAAUUUUUUUUUAAUA